GAGGAAGUAGUUCAGUGGUAGAACAUCACCUUGCCAAGGUGGGGGUCGCGGGUUCGAACCCCGUCUUCCGCUCCA
rnacentral:tRNA from 1 species